AGUGAACGCUGGCGGUAGGCCUAACACAUGCAAGUCGAACGGCAGCACAGUAAGAGCUUGCUCUUACGGGUGGCGAGUGGCGGACGGGUGAGGAAUACAUCGGAAUCUACUUUUUCGUGGGGGAUAACGUAGGGAAACUUACGCUAAUACCGCAUACGACCUACGGGUGAAAGCAGGGGAUCUUCAGACCUUGCGCGAUUGAAUGAGCCGAUGUCGGAUUAGCUAGUUGGCGGGGUAAAGGCCCACCAAGGCGACGAUCCGUAGCUGGUCUGAGAGGAUGAUCAGCCACACUGGAACUGAGACACGGUCCAAACUCCUACGGGAGGCAGCAGUGGGGAAUAUUGGACAAUGGGCGCAAGCCUGAUCCAGCCAUACCGCGUGGGUGAAGAAGGCCUUCGGGUUGUAAAGCCCUUUUGUUGGGAAAGAAAAGCAGCAGGUUAAUACCCCGCUGUUCUGACGGUACCCAAAGAAUAAGCACCGGCUAACUUCGUG
rnacentral:rRNA from 1 species